rnacentral:rRNA from 1 species
UACGUAGGGUGCGAGCGUUGUCCGGAAUUACUGGGCGUAAAGAGCUCGUAGGUGGUUUGUCGCGUUGUUCGUGAAAACUCACAGCUCAACUGUGGGCGUGCGGGCGAUACGGGCAGACUGGAGUACUGCAGGGGAGACUGGAAUUCCUGGUGUAGCGGUGGAAUGCGCAGAUAUCAGGAGGAACACCGGUGGCGAAGGCAGGUCUCUGGGCAGUAACUGACGCUGAGGAGCGAAAGCGUGGGGAGCGAACAGG